GUUCAUUUAGCCAAAAUAUAUCUUACGAGAAUUCAGAAAUUCACAGAUGUACUAGCAAUAAAGAGUCGUAGGUACAUUAUGAUAUAAAGAUGAAAGAUAUGAACCAUGAAGAAAAAGAAACACAUCACAUGAGAAGAGGGCCCUCUUGAGGUUUGGUUUCUAAGAUGCUCCUUUGACACACAAAAUGCCACAAAUAGCACAAUAAUGACGCUCUCUCUGCAUUGAUCCUCCAUACAUAACAAACCAAACCUUCAAAUAGCAGCAAAUGGCCCUACUUAUGCCAGAGACCCAAAUUAUUCUAAUUUUUCUGGACUUCUGCAUCUUCUUUUUCUGCUUUCCUCCCCCUUCAUUGAAAAAAAAAAAUCAAAAUACAUUUUCUUCACCAUUAUUGCAUUGUCUACAGUCUCCACCAUCAUCCCGGCUUAAGCCCAAACUUGACAUGGUUGCUUGACCCACCGCCCCAAUUUCCAGUCUGACACUCGAAGACCUACCUUCUUCCAAAAUAAUGCUCGAGUUGGUUUGACCCCAUCUUUGCCAAGCACUUCCUGUGAAGGAUAAAGAUAUAGUCUGACAUUUCAAAAGCAUUCUCACGAUAUGAUAGAGCAUGGUUUUGCUUUUGGAAAUAGUAAUUUUGUGAGUGUAUUAUUGAUAUGCUUUAGUUCUCUUGUAGUCUUCUGUUUGUUGGUUUCAUGUUAAGUGAUUGAAGGGAAUAGUGAUGGGCCUUGAGGUCUCGUGAGCCUGUGGCAAUAAUUCCCCUUCUCAAAGUGAGCGAUUUGAGAGGUGCUCUUGUCAAUUUGCU
rnacentral:misc_RNA from 1 species